rnacentral:rRNA from 1 species
GGGUAACCUGCCCAAGAGAUCGGGAUAACACCUGGAAACAGAUGCUAAUACCGGAUAACAACAGAUGAUGCCUAUCAACUGUUUAAAAGAUGGUUCUGCUAUCACUCUUGGAUGGACCUGCGGUGCAUUAGCUAGUUGGUAGGGUAACGGCCUACCAAGGCGAUGAUGCAUAGCCGAGUUGAGAGACUGAUCGGCCACAUUGGGACUGAGACACGGCCCAAACUCCUACGGGAGGCAGCAGUU